rnacentral:rRNA from 1 species
AGGUAUUUGUGCUUCUCGCUCGGAGCGAUAGCCGCCGGGGAAGCACGCAGCCCGCCACGGUAAACCCAGUGGCAGACGGGUGAGUAAUGUAUAGGAAUCUACCUAGUAGUACGGAAUAAUUGUUGGAAACGGCAACUAAUACCGUAUACGCCCUACGGGGGAAAAAUUUAUUGCUAUUAGAUGAGCCUAUAUUAGAUUAGCUAGUUGGUGGUGUAAUAGCCUACCAAGGCAAUGAUCUAUAGCUGAUCUGAGAGGAUGAUCAGCCACACUGGAACUGAGAUACGGUCCAGACUCCUACGGGAGGCAGCAGUGGGGAAUAUUGGACAAUGGGCGAAAGCCUGAUCCAGCCAUGCCGCAUGAGUGAAGAAGGCCUUUGGGUUGUAAAGCUCUUUUAGUGAGGAAGAUAAUGACGGUACUCACAGAAGAAGUCCUGGCUGACUCCGUGGCAGCAGACGCGGUAAUACGGAGAGGGCUAGCGUUAUUCGGAAUUAUUGUGCGUAGAGAGCGCGGAGGCUGGUGUAUAAGUAAAAAGUGAAAUCCCCCACGCGUCCCCCUCGGAGGUGCUGUCUUCACUAUCAAUCUAGAGAGAGAAAGAGGAUAGAGGAAGUCACUCCCUGUAGAGGUAGAAUACUCAUAUUAAUAAGAAGAACAAUGGCGGAGGCAUCUGUCUGCUCGAUCAAACGCUGAAUCACGACGAGAGAGGAUCUAGUUGUAUGCACUACAUGUUCGUGGCACAGCGAGUUAUCACGGAGGAGGCAACGCGGGGAGCGUUCUCCUAUAAAAGAAAAGAUUUCACUCGAGCGGGGGGCUCCUCGUUCCUUAAUUUAAUUGAAAUAAAGGAGAGCGGCCUGGGAGGGGGGGGGGGGGGAUCAAUCAAAGAAUAACCAGU